rnacentral:misc_RNA from 1 species
ACAUAUGACUUGAAGUUAAAAGAUAAUAUAAAUUUUUAAAUAAUAACUUA